UAGGGAAUAUUGCACAAUGGGCGAAAGCCUGAUGCAGCAACGCCGCGUGCGCGAUGAAGGCCUUCGGGUCGUAAAGCGCUUUUCGGGGAGAUGAGGAAGGACAGUAUCCCCGGAAUAAGGCUCGGCUAACUACGUGCCAGCAGCCGCGGUAAAACGUAGGAGCCUAGCGUUAUCCGAAUUUACUGGGCGUAAAGCGCGUGCAGGCGGUUCGGUAAGUUGGGUGUGAAAUCUCCUGGCUCAACUAGGAGAGGUCGCUCAAUACUGUCGAACUGGAGGAUGGUAGAGGGAGGUGGAAUUCCCGGUGUAGUGGUGAAAUGCGUAGAUAUCGGGAGGAAUACCAGUGGCGAAGGCGGCCUCCUGGGCCAUACCUGACGCUCAGACGCGAAAGCUAGGGGAGCGAACGGGAUUAGAAACCCCGGUAGUCCUAGCCGUAAACGAUGUGGACUUGGCGUUGGUGGGGUAAAAUCCAUCAGUGCCGGAGCUAACGCGGUAAGUCCACCGCCUGGGGACUACGGCCGCAAGGUUA
rnacentral:rRNA from 1 species